UACAGAGGUCUCGAGCGUUGUUCGGAUUCAUUGGGCGUAAAGGGUGCGUAGGCGGCGAGGUAAGUCGGAUGUGAAAUCCCGGGGCUCAACCCCGGAACUGCAUUUGAAACUGCCUUGCUCGAGUACUGGAGAGGAGACUGGAAUUUACGGUGUAGCAGUGAAAUGCGUAGAUAUCGUAAGGAAGACCGGUGGCGAAGGCGAGUCUCUGGACAGUUACUGACACUGAGGCACGAAGGCCAGGGGAGCAAACGGG
rnacentral:rRNA from 1 species